AGACAUAUGGAUCAUGUUUUGUUUCUUGUUUCGGUCUUUAGACAAUAGUUACCCACGGCUUUAAAAGUUACAAGUCUUUAGACAGAGACUUGAGGGACAAGACAUUGGAUUGAGUUAUUACAAGUCUUUAGACAGAGACUUGAGGGACAAAACAUUGGAUUGGGUUAUGACAAGUCUUUAGACUGAGACUUGAGGGACAAAACAUUGGAUUGGGUUAUGUUGGUGCAAUGAAAAUGGUACCCACGGCUUCAAACUUUAGUCUUUAGAUUGAGACUUGAGAGUGAGACUGAACGUUGAUCCUUCUUGGUGCCCACGGCUUUUAAAUCACAAAGACAUAUGGAUCAUGUUUGGUUUCUUGUUUCGGUCUUAGACAAUAGUUACCCACGG